UAUUGAAUAGAUUGUCCUAAUGGAACAUUUGGUGAAAACUGCUUGGAAAAGUGUGGCCGCAAAUAUUACGGCUUUAGAUGUCAGUUCGAAUGUAACUGCUUUGCCAAUGAGAUAUGUAAUAAGGCCACCGGGUGUGAAGAAAUAGAGCUUUCUUACAAUUUGACGAAAGAUUUUUGUAUCAAAAUUACUGCUGGAGGCGCUGUAACCUUUGCAACUAUUAUUAUUUUUCUCUUAGGCAUUAUCUUUAUCCAAAGAAGAAAAUUGACGAAAGCUUCCUACACCACUUUGACAGUACGACGAGAUGAGAACAACUACAACGUAAUACCACAUCAAAUGUCCGAUUCCAUUACAGGGCAAUAUUAUGAGGUGUCACCGUUAUCAGAAAUCCCUGUUUCAGGAUGUCAACCCACUGUCCAACAGAACAUAGAUCAAAUACAACACGUUGAUACAUCUGGAUAUCUUAUCCCUUCUAGCAUGCUACAGACGAGCGGAGACUAUCAAACAAUAGCAGACUAAUUUGAAAAUUGCACAUUAUAGUUUGUAAAUAUUUUACACUUUGAAUGUACAUACAGAUACAUUUUUUAUAUAAGCUGUAACUAAUUUGAUCAUAUUUUUGUACGUUUACAUUUUACUCAAAGUUUAGUACAGUACAAAAUUUGUUCGACUCUAUAACUGAUAGUAUUUUAGUCUAAAACCACUUUAAAGAAAGCAAAAACAAAUGAUAGUAAAUUUGGAGCACAUGUAAUAGAAUGUGAAUGAAAAUACAACAAAGUAUGUUUUCUCGUGAAAAGUGUCAAUGACAGAUUAUAAAUAUGACAAUCAUUUUCAUAGGUGCAAUGAUUUGUUUGCUACAUUUCAGUUUGACUAUUUUUGCUAUUUAUUUUAGAUAAAAAGUCUUAUUUAUAAAGAAUCGAACAUAAAACAAAAUAUGUCCCAUGUUCGAU